rnacentral:lncRNA from 10 species
CUGCGGGUUUUCCAGGAGUGUAGAGGCGGAGAAGUCUAUCCGAGCUUCCAGUUCUGCUUCUGAAGCUGGAAGGGGCUUUUCGGUUGUAACCCUUGGUAACAAUGCCUGGAUUUUAUUCAGAUGCUGUGUACCCAGCCAAAAGACUACAUUUCUCAAUCUCCAUUGUAGCUGGAUGUGGCUGUGUGAUCAAGUUAUGACCAAUGAGAUAUAAGUAGAAGUAGCUUGGCCAGACACAGUGGCUCACACCUGUAAUCCCAGCCCUUUGGGAGGCCAAAGCAGGAGGAUCACUUGCACUCAGGAGUUGGAAACUGCAGACCAGCCUGGAGAACACAGUGACACCUUGUCUCUACACAAAAUGAAAAAGUUAGCAGGGUAUGGUGGCAUGUGCCUGUGGUCCCAGCUACUUCCAGCUACUUGGGAGGCUAAAAUGGAAGGAUCGCUUGAGCCUGGGAGAUUGAGGCCUCAGUGAGCCAUGAUCAUGCCACUGUACUCCAGCCUGGGUGACAAGAGCAAGACCCUGUCUCUCAAAAAAAAAAAAACGCGGCUGGGUGGAACAUCUGGAAAACAUCUUUAAAGAACGCUGACUCAAUCAGGAGGAGCACCAUUUUGUUUCUUGCCCUCUGCCCUUCCUGCCUGAAACAGGCAUUGCCAUUCUCUUCAAAACAUAUUUGAAAAAUGUCCAGGCUUCUCAUCUCUGUGUAAAACUGUUCAGUUUGUUCCAGUGUGACGAGAAGAAAUUGGACUGAGCAUACUUUUUUGUGAGACAUCCAUUUUCUUCC